AUUGAACGCUGGCGGCAGGCUUAACACAUGCAAGUCGAACGGUAACAGGAAGAAAGCUUGCUUUCUUUGCUGACGAGUGGCGGACGGGUGAGUAGUGCUUGGGAAUCUGUUUCAUGGAGGGGGAUAACUACGGGAAACUGUAGCUAAUACCGCGUAAUAUCGAGAGAUUAAAUGUGUGGGACCGUAAGGCCACAUGCCAUGAAGUGAGCCCAAGUGGGAUUAGAUAGUUGGUGAGGUAAUGGCUCACCAAGUCGGCGAUCUCUAGCUGGUCUGAGAGGAUGACCAGCCACACUGGGACUGAGACACGGCCCAGACUCCUACGGGAGGCAGCAGUGGGGAAUAUUGCACAAUGGGCGCAAGCCUGAUGCAGCCAUGCCGCGUGAAUGAAGAAGGCCUUCGGGUUGUAAAGUUCUUUCGGUGGUGAGGAAGGUUGACGUGUUAAUAGCACGUUGAUUUGACGUUAGCCACAGAAGAAGCACCGGCUAACUCCGUGCCAGCAGCCGCGGUAAUACGGAGGGUGCGAGCGUUAAUCGGAAUAACUGGGCGUAAAGGGCACGCAGGCGGUGACUUAAGUGAGGUGUGAAAGCCCUGGGCUUAACCUAGGAAUUGCAUUUCAUACUGGGUCGCUAGAGUAUUUUAGGGAGGGGUAGAAUUCCACGUGUAGCGGUGAAAUGCGUAGAGAUGUGGAGGAAUACCGAAGGCGAAGGCAGCCCCUUGGGAAUAUACUGACGCUCAUGUGCGAAAGCGUGGGGAGCAAACAGG
rnacentral:rRNA from 1 species